UAAUAUUAUCAUUUUGGAAAUAUGUAUUUUAAACUUGUAUUGGCUUCUAUUGGUCUACUGUGUGUAGGUGUUACCUCUGGUACAUCCGGAAGGUAUUGUCAUAGUUGCUAUGGACGUUACGACGAUUCCCCUGCAGCCUUUGAUGACUGUCGUCAUUUUGUUAAUAUUACGAAAACUGACACGUGUUCAUCAUCUGCACAUUGCAUAUUUUAUUAUAAAACUUUUUCAAAAAUGAACAAGGCCAAAAGUGUAGCGGCUAGAUUUUGUUCGGACCAUGAUUGUGAUUACUUCAGGGUUUCGGGCGACCCAUACAAACACUGUUCGCAGUGCGAAACCGACUAUUGCAAUACUGACAAAUUUUUAAGUAUAAGAUAAAGCCUGUAAUUGUUUGGGAUGUUACACAUAUUGUUUAUUAGUAUAAGUUGUUGCAUAUAGGAACGGUAGUUAUUGAUUUGUAUUACUAUGACACGUUGGUUAAUGUCUUAAUAAAGAGGAUAUUUUAAUAUAA